GAUGAACGCUGGCGGCGUGCCUAAUACAUGCAAGUAGAACGCUGAAGGAAGGAGCUUGCUCUUUCCGGAUGAGUUGCGAACGGGUGAGUAACGCGUAGGUAACCUGCCUGGUAGCGGGGGAUAACUAUUGGAAACGAUAGCUAAUACCGCAUAACAGUAGAUGUUGCAUGAUAUCUACUUAAAAGGUGCAAUUGCACCACUACCAGAUGGACCUGCGUUGUAUUAGCUAGUUGGUGAGGUAACGGCUCACCAAGGCGACGAUACAUAGCCGACCUGAGAGGGUGGGCGGCCGCACUGGGAGGGGGACAAGGCCCAGACUCCUAGGGGAGGGAGCAGGAGGGAAUCUUGGGGAAUGGGCGGAAGUCUGACCGGGCGACGCCGCGGGAGUGAAGAAGGGUGUCGGGUCGGGAAGGUCGGUUGUAAGGGAAGAACGAGUGGGGGAGUGGUAAGUUCACACUGUGACGGUAUCUUAGCAGAAAGGGACGGCUAACUACGUG
rnacentral:rRNA from 1 species